rnacentral:rRNA from 1 species
ACGGGGGGGGGCAAGCGUUGUUCGGAAUCACUGGGCGUAAAGGGCGUGUAGGCGGUUCAGUAAGUGGGAUGUGAAAUGCUCCGGCUCACCCGGAGUACUGCAUCCCAAACUGCUGAGCUUGAGUAUGGGAGAGGAUGAGGGAAUUCCUGGUGUAGCGGUGAAAUGCGUAGAUAUCAGGAGGAACACCGGUGGCGAAGGCGCUCAUCUGGCCCAAUACUGACGCUGAGGCGCGAAAGCUAGGGGAGCAAACGGGAUUAGAUACCCCGGUAGUCCUAGCCGUAAACGGUGAGCACUAGGUGUUGGAGGCAUCGACCCCUCCAGUGCCGCAGCUAACGCACUAAGUGCUCCGCCUGGGGAGUACGGCCGCAAGGUUG